rnacentral:rRNA from 1 species
CAAUAGCGUAUAUUAAAGUUGUUGCAGUUAAAAAGCUCGUAGUUGAAUUUUUGCUUGCCGCCGAUGUCGGAACUUCCGUACGUUCGGCGGCGUGCAUCCUUGGGUGGAACCUGUGUGGCAUUAGGUUGUCGUGCAGGGGAUGCUCAUCGUUUACUGUGAAAAAAUUAGAGUGUUCAAAGCAGGCUUACGCCGUUGAAUAUAUUAGCAUGGAAUAAUAAGAUAGGACCUUGGUACUAUUUUGUUGGUUUGCGCACCGAGGUAAUGAUUAACAGGGACAGUUGGGGGUAUUCGUAUUCCAUUGUCAGAGGUGAAAUUCUUGGAUUUCUGGAAGACGAACUACUGCGAANGNAUUUAGNAAGGAUGUUUNCAUUA